rnacentral:ncRNA from 1 species
CUUUCCACGUUUUCGCGUCCAGGACGAGUAAUCGAGGAAUUUUGAAUUUGUCUGGUUCAGCCUAAACGCGGCAAUGGCGUAAGACGUAAUGGCUAAUCGGGCAGUUAGCGGGCUGCGGAUUGCAGCUUGGCCGGCAAAAGGAAUCCGUUCUGGCAAUAAUCAUCAGACGUUAUUCCCCUGUAAAAGUGCUGUUUUCCGUUAUGGGAAACAGGCUACCGAAAUAAUGCGCCCCUUAGCAAGCGACAACCGUGAGGUUGACGGCUUUGCGCCAAGUCACGGGGCCGUCGGUGAUUACCCGGCCAUGCGGUUUUUUGCCCGCAGCUCUGAUGCCAA